rnacentral:rRNA from 1 species
UUCCGUAGGUGAACCUGCGGAAGGAUCAUUACCGAGUGCGGGCCCCUCGGGGCCCAACCUCCCACCCGUGUUGCCCGAACCUAUGUUGCCUCGGCGGGCCCCGCGCCCGCCGACGGCCCCCCUGAACGCUGUUUGAAGUUGCAGUCUGAGACCUAUAACGAAAUUAGUUAAAACUUUCAACAACGGAUCUCUUGGUUCCGGCAUCGAUGAAGAACGCAGCGAAAUGCGAUAACUAAUGUGAAUUGCAGAAUUCAGUGAAUCAUCGAGUCUUUGAACGCACAUUGCGCCCUCUGGUAUUCCGGAGGGCAUGCCUGUCCGAGCGUCAUUGCUGCCCUCAAGCCCGGCUUGUGUGUUGGGCCCCGUCCCCCCCGCCGGGGGGACGGGCCCGAAAGGCAGCGGCGGCACCGCGUCCGGUCCUCGAGCGUAUGGGGCUUCGUCACCCGCUCUAGUAGGCCCGGCCGGCGCCAGCCGACCCCCAACCUUUAAUUAUCUCAGGUUGACCUCGGAUCAGGUAGGGAUACCCGCUGAACUUAAGCAUAUCAAUAAGCGGAGGAA